rnacentral:rRNA from 1 species
UACGUAGGCAGCAAGCGUUGUUCGGAAUUACUGGGCGUAAAGAGUGUGUAGGCGGUGCUCUAAGUCUGUUGUGAAAUCUCCCGGCUUAACCGGGAGGGUGCGGCGGAAACUGGAGUGCUUGAGGGUGGGAGAGGUAAGCGGAAUUCCUGGUGUAGCGGUGAAAUGCGUAGAUAUCAGGAGGAACACCUGUGGUGUAGACAGCUUACUGGACCACUUCUGACGCUGAGACGCGAAAGCGUGGGGAGCAAACAGG